rnacentral:lncRNA from 1 species
UUAUGUGAGUAUAUCCUCCCUAACGGAUUUUGACUUUAUAAACCCUCUUUUCGUGGUCAUUUAGAGAAGGGAGAGAAAAUGAUUAGAGAGAAACGGAAAAAACAAUUUGGGAUAGAGAGAGACCAAAUAGAGAGCAAAUAGAGAUAAAAACAAAUAUGAAGAGACCAUAACCCUAGGGAAGAAACCAGAUAGAGAUAAAAACAAAUAUGAGCGACCAUAACCCUAGGGAAGAGAACAGGUAGAGAUCAGAUAGAAAAAACCAGAAAGAGUUACACAAGAGAAGAGAAAACCCUAGAAACUGCUUCAGGAACCGAGCCUCCUGAGAGAAAACCUAAGUCUAAGAAAACCUAGACGUACCGGACCUCCUGAAAGAAAACCUAAGUCUGAGAAAACCUAGACCUAAGGCCCAGCCACCCUAGAUCUACCCUUAGGGCACAACCACCCUUCUUCAACCAGAGACUUUCUGGUGAACAUCAGACUCAGAGAGACAAAAGAGGAUCGG